rnacentral:rRNA from 1 species
GCUGACGAGUGGCGGACGGGUGAGUAAUGUCUGGGAAACUGCCUGAUGGAGGGGGAUAACUACUGGAAACGGUAGCUAAUACCGCAUAACGUCGCAAGACCAAAGAGGGGGACCUUAGGGCCUCUUGCCAUCGGAUGUGCCCAGAUGGGAUUAGCUAGUAGGUGGGGUAACGGCUCACCUAGGCGACGAUCCCUAGCUGGUCUGAGAGGAUGACCAGCCACACUGGAACUGAGACACGGUCCAGACUCCUACGGGAGGCAGCAGUGGGGAAUAUUGCACAAUGGGCGCAAGCCUGAUGCAGCCAUGCCGCGUGUAUGAAGAAGGCCUUCGGGUUGUAAAGUACUUUCAGC